GCCCUGCCCCUGGGGAAAUUCUAAUGGGCUUCUGUAGACUCUGGCGCGUCAUUGGCCGAAGGGAAUUUGGUGCCACCUCGUCCUGCCGUUGCCAUUGGCUCGGCGCAAUCUGCUGUUUCCUCUGCCGCGAGCUCCUCACUCCCCCUCCCCUCCCUUUCUCCUUCUAGGCUUCUCUUCCACCGGCCGCUGGGCCUCUGCCCGGCACCCCGCCGCCUAGGAGGCGCUCAGAAGGGUCCUCUCUGGAAGAGGGAGAGGACCCGAUCGGGGAACUGGGGAACGGGGGGUGGGUGCCAGCCCAGGACUGGCCCCGGGCACUUCGCGAAUGGAUGGGCACUGGGGAAGUUUCCCGGGGAGGAGUGGGGAAGCCACACGGGCGACCACUACACACAGCUGCACCCCCGCCUUCCCGCUCGCCGAGACGCGUAGGAGUAGAGACUUGCUUUCAAGCCCGGGGUCGCGGGCCACGGGCCCAGCGAAGCCCCGCCUCUCUCCGUGGCGAGCGCGCAGGCGGUGGGGUGGGGGGGUCGGUCCACGGCGGAACAAUGGUUCUGCCCCGCCUACCAGCGGCGCGGCGCUAACCCCGGACUGCUGAACUCGCGGGUCUCCAGCCUCGCGCACGCAUAGAUGCACUGAUGUGUAAACCUGCACGUGCGCACGAUGUUGAGCCACUGGGCACGCCCAGCAGGGGACGUUCACCGCCAGGCACCAGUGAGCUGUCCCAUCCCUGUGCCCACGCCUCCAGAACGUGUGCGGGAUGUUUUGGAGAUUCUUCAGAUUGUCGGGUUGUAGUUUUGGAAUUGCCUUCAUGGGGAAAGGCAGGAAGCACCAGACAUGUGCUUUCACUAAGAAGCAAGAGAAAGUACUUACCCUGGACUUCAGCAGAGAACAAGCUGAAAAAUCAGAGUUCCCUGGAAACUGCCCUCCUCCUCACUUAGACUCAGUUCAGGUGUAUGAACUGAAGCUUUUCGAACAUGAAGAUGAGGAUGGUGGGUUUCGGUUUCUUGGGACAUCCCCAAACAGAUAUGCAAGAAGGUCACACAGCAGGCUUCCUAUUCUCCACCCAAUGUGGGAUUGUUCUUCCAAAAGAGGCUUACUUCCAAGUUCCCACCUGCCUCCCUUUGUACACUCUGCUGCCCCUGCAUGAUGACACACAGGAAGUCAUUAUCACUGUAGUCAGACCCAAUUCGGAAGCCUAAUGCCACCAGUUUGAAGAGAUAACCAAUUUCAGGAGUGAAAAAGUAGUUGGAUCUGUGUCUUUGGAAAGACCCCUGAGGCUUGUGUAAUUCAAGCUUAGCUCAACUCACAUUCCAGUGACCAUGCAGGGAUAAAGAUCACUGUACGUUUUAACAUUUCUUGCAGUGUUGUAACUUUCUCCUUGUUUGGUCUUUUAACUCAGUCUGUUUCCUUGUGCAUACUUUGCUGCAGGGACAAGAUGGGGGAAGAGAGAUAGAAAUCAUCAUUCUAUUCCUCACUGGCCUCAGAAAGUUAGGUCUCCUGCCGUAUAGACACACAGCACUUUUGCUUCUCCCUUGCAGCACUUUUUAUGAUUAUAAAUCAUCAAUUAUUUGUGUAUUUGUUUAAUGUUUAUCUUCUUCACCAGAAUGUAAGUUUCAUGAGACAGGGGCCCUGAUGGUCUCAUUUACUGCUUCAUCCCCAAAGUGUAGCAUAAUCCCUACCUAUAUUCGGCACUCAGUAAACAUCUACAGAAUGAAUUACCAUUGGAAUGAGGACUCAGGAUGGAAGAAUAUGUGUCUUCCGUAAUGGGGCUCUCAGAGGCGGGGACAAGGAGGUGUCUUGGGUGCUUGCCCUGAAACCCUGAGGUGAUGCUGGAAGAGCGAGCCCUGGGGAAUCUGCCCUGGUGCUCCAGUCUCCCCUCCUCACAGGCUUGGGACUUUCAGUCAACAGUGCCUCAUUGUGAAAUUUGGUGAGUGGAUCCGAGGGGACGAAGAAUUGCGUUCUCUCAUGUCCUCUUCCCUGAGCCUCUCUAUCCUCCAUCCCUUUUCCCUCUCAUGCCUUUCUUUCUCCUGGUGUAUCUCCUCGCCUUUCUUUCUAGGCUGGUAUCUCCAGCUCACAUGGAGCUCUUUCCUUCCCCACUCCACCCACUCCAGCAGGUGGCCUAACACUUCACACCAGCUACAGAACACUGCCUGCCACAGGGGGAGCUCUGCCUAGAAGGGAUAAUGCUGAUGGAUUAUGUCAGGACACGUGAGCUCUCCGGAUGACGGGACUACACUCAGCAAGAGGACAUGAUCAUGGCCUCAGACCCAUUUCCCAGGGCUUAGUCAACUGACAACUAACUUUCCUAUUUUUGUUGAUGAUAUCAUCUGUCUCCUACCACGUGGGUUUGAUUGCUUCCCUCCAUCUGUCCAAUCUUCUGUAGAAGGUAUGGACAGAUGGACAUUGAUGUCCAGGAGGGUCCUCUAGAAAUGGGAGGAAAGCUGAGGGUCUCAUUCAAAGGGUUCUUUUUGGAGAGAUGGAAGAUGCAAAGUGUAUUCCAGAAGGACUUUGAAAUCAGGGAGGUGGAAGGAAGGGAGAAAAAGGUUGAAGUGGGUCCUUUUGAUGAGGAGAUGGGUCACCUCCAGCCUCUCUGUGAGGUCCCUGGUGAAAUAGAACAAAGGCUCUUUUCUUGCUGUCCUGGGCUGGGACAGCUGCAACAGGACUUCAUAUACCUGGACCUUCCAACAGAUCUGGCUUGUUCAUUGUGGUGUAUGGAGAAGCUGGGACUUGUGGUGGCCCCUGGUGCAGUGCUGUGGUGUUUGUUACAUGAAAACAGGCAGGGGAGGAGUCCCUUCUGCUUAGCCUACUCAGGUUGUUUGCUUGGUCCACGAUGUUUGUUGUUGAAGUCUUGUGCUACUCGAAUUUCAGUAUUUUUUAAAAUAAAUUUAUUUAUUUAUUUUUUUGUUUUUGGGUGUGUUGGGUCUUUGUUGCUGCU